GACGAACGCUGGCGGCGUGCUUAACACAUGCAAGUCGAACGGUGAAGCGCCUUCCUUUUUGGUGGGUGUGGAUGAGUGGCGAACGGGUGAGUAACACGUGAGUAACCUGCCCCCUUCUUCUGGAUAACCGCAUGAAAGUGUGGCUAAUACGGGAUAUUCUGGGUCUGUCGCAUGAUGGGUCUGGGAAAGAUAUUGUUUCGGUGGGGGAUGGGCUCGCGGCCUAUCAGCUUGUUGGUGGGGUGAUGGCCUACCAAGGCGGUGACGGGUAGCCGGCCUGGGAGGGUGGACGGUCACACUGGGGCUGAGACACGGCCCAGACUCCGACGGGAGGCAGCAGUGGGGAAUAUUGCACAAUGGGCGCAAGCCUGAUGCAGCGACGCCGCGUGAGGGAUGGAGGCCUUCGGGUUGUGAACCUCUUUCGCCAGUGAAGCAGGCCUGCCUCGUUUGUGGGUGGGUUGACGGUAGCUGGAUAAGAAGCGCCGGCUAACUACGUG
rnacentral:rRNA from 1 species